rnacentral:rRNA from 1 species
ACGAUGGGCGGUUCGCCGCCGAUGACGUCGCGAGAAGUCCACUGAACCUUAUCAUUUAGAGGAAGGAGAAGUCGUAACAAGGUUUCCGUAGGUGAACCUGCGGAAGGAUCAUUG